rnacentral:rRNA from 1 species
CCUACGGGAGGCAGCAGUGAGGAAUAUUGGUCAAUGGACGAAAGUCUGAACCAGCCAAGUAGCGUGAAGGAUGACGGCCCUCUGGGUUGUAAACUUCUUUUAUAAAGGAAUAAAACGAGGCACGUGUGCCUUGUUGCAUGUACUUUAUGAAUAAGGGUCGGCUAAAUCCGUGCCAGCAGCCGCGGUAUUACGGAGGAUCCGAGCGUUAUCCGGAUUUAUUGGGUUUAAAGGGAGCGUAGAUGGGUUGUUAAGUCAGUUGUGAAAGUUUGCGGCUCAACCGUAAAAUUGCACUUGAUACUGGAAGCCUUGAGUACAGUCAGGGAUGGCGGAAUUCGUGGUGUAGCGGUGAAAUGCUUAGAUAUCAUGAAGAACCCCGAUUGCGAAGGCAGGUGUCUAAACUGCGACUGACAUUGAGGCUCGAAAGUGUGGGUAUCAAACAGGAUUAGAUACCCUUGUAGUC